rnacentral:lncRNA from 1 species
AUUCUUCCUACUCUCAUUCCUCUGGCACUUGGUGGCAAGAUUCCAGCACAGCAAGUGUAAUCAAUAGACUCCUAUAAGUCUUUCUUGCUGCUAGUGGUUGGGGUCAGCCGUUGGUGAGCCUAAAGGAAUAAUAAGGGCCUCCCCUCUUCUGGUUAGAUCCUACUAUAGACUAGCAUAGUGUUUUCCUUUUUUCUCUUGUUUGGUCAAAUAGGUGAAAGCAUUUAGAUUUCCUGAAAUUAUUUUCUGUUUAGGGAUUAUCUUUAAGAUACCGAAUCGGAUACUUCAUGGAGACUCUUCACCUUGUUGUGUGUUGGUCCCUACCCUUAGCUCUGGGAAAAAAUUUGCCCUAGUGGUAGAAACGUUAGACUUUCUGGAUCCAGAGCUCAUGGGUUUUGCCUUCAGUCAGUUCUGCUUUUGGAUUUGGUCCUGGAUGCCCUAGCUGGGCUUUGCUGCUGAUCUUUGGUUGCUGUGGUUAGGUUUCCACCAUGAGUGGCUAGAUCCCCAGAUGCUGUCUGUCUGAUUGAUUGAAGCUCUGCUUAUUGCCUGCCAUCAGAGUCACCUGAUGAUAAACUCUGUUCACCUGCAAGGCUAUCCACCUGUUGUCUACUUCUAGACCUAUCUAACGCUUAACAUCUGUCUGACUGAACUUCCUUCCUUAUCCAGCCAGUCUUCCUUUAGUUUGCUGUGAGGAUUUUCCUAACAGCCUCUCCAUCUGUCUGAUCUGGCUCCAGUGGGACAGUCUAACAUCUGUAUUUGGUCUCCUCCAGAUUGGCCAUUUGUGUUACUGACAAAAUCCCUGGUCCCAAAGCAAAAGAGAAUGGCGUAUAGUGGAAAUAUGUGAGAAGCAGAAGGCGAAGAGUAUGUAAAGUGCUUCCAGCAUCUUCAUGCAGGUGAACGGAACAGCACCUCGCCACUGCAUCUCAGUGCCUCAGACCUAAACUGAGGAAAUGGAUCAAGAGAUUUCAGAUGAUUAUUCAGUUCAAGGCACAGAAUCAUAAUUGGUCUAGGCAAGAACAUUCUAUACAAUUUUAUCAUUAUUUCCUUUCAUGUUUUAUCACCGAGUCUAUACCCCUAGACUUCCUCCUAUAUAUAUCUUAUCCCUCUAUCUAAUGUAUGUGAUUUUACUUUUCCAUUCCAUAUAUGUAUGUAUGUAUUUCGUAAAAUAUGGGUAAGGCUGUUCCUUGUGUAUAUAUUUAAUCUCCAUAAUAGCGAUGUACUCUAAACUUCAUUCUCUCAAAAAAGUGUUCCUAAAAUAUUAGUUACUAUAUGUGGAUCUAGUUCAUUCCCUUUGAUUGCUUCAUUGCUUUCUAUUUAUGCAUAUAGCGCAUAUUAUUUAUUAAUAUCCUCUCAUUAUUUUCUUUCUCCUUGUGCAUCCAUGUGUUUUUCUGGUACAGAACCCAGAGUCUGGAUUGCUGUGUAAUAGGUUAUGUGCAUACUCUGUUUUAGUGAGUACUAAGGUUAUACUCCAAAGUGUCUGCAUCCAUUUGCACUCCCGCUGACAAGAUUUUGCAAAUACUCACCAACAAAAGAUGUGUUUGAUAUGCUUCUUCUACCUAUUUAGGGAUGUAAAAUGAUACCAUAUUGUUAUCUUAAUUUACAUUUAUCAUAUUAGUGAGAUCGAGAAUUGCUUUAUAUAAUUACUAUUGGCCACCAAUCACAUCUUCAUCAGCCGGUACUGCUCUGUUUCCUUGACUGCCUCCUGAGCAUCUCCCUGAAUGGUAAAUAUUGGUGUGUCAGAAGGCUCUAUAUUUGAACAUCAUCUCUUCUCAAUCUAUAAUCACUCUCUUGACUUUUAAAACCAUCAGUCUAGAUAAGAUCACCAUCCAUGUCCUGAUGACUUACAAAUUUAUAUCUUCAGGCAAGACUUCUCCCUUAUAUCCAACUGCCUUCUUAAUGUGUCCUUUUGGAUAGUCAAUGAGUAUCUUAAAAUGUACUUAUCCGAAAGUGAACUUUUGAUCACCACACCCUCCCUCCAAAAGAGCCCUACUCCUUUGCCAGUCUUCUCCCAUUUUGCUAAGCCUGUGAAAAACUCUUGAAAUUUUCCUUGACUUGUAGCAUUCUCCCGUACUCUACCACCUACCCAUCAGUCAAUUCUUUUGGUUUUAUUAUCAGUAUUU